ACUGUUGCUUGGCCGUUUGGCUAAGAUCAAAUGUAGUAUUUGUUUUAUUAGUUUAAUAUCUGAUACGUCCCAUAUCCCACAACAGUUCAGUAAAUGGAUUUUGAAACAGAAGACAAAAAUAGGAAUUUGCUCUGUCCUCUGUGUGUGUUGACUUGGU
rnacentral:snRNA from 1 species